rnacentral:rRNA from 1 species
GUGUCAGCCGCCGCGGUAAUACGUAGGAGGCGAGCGUUAUCCGGAUUUAUUGGGCGUAAAGUGGGCGUAGGUGGUCUUUCAAGUCAGAUGUGAAAUCUCCCGGCUCAACUGGGAGGGGUCAUCUGAUACUGUUGGACUUGAGUACAGCAGGGGAAAAUGGAAUUCCCGGUGUAGUGGUGAAAUGCGUAGAUAUCGGGAGGAACACCAGAGGCGAAGGCGAUUUUCCAGGCUGAAACUGACACUGAGGCCCGAAAGCGUGGGGAGCGAACAGGAUUAGAAACCCCAGUAGUCC